rnacentral:sRNA from 1 species
UUAUUUAUUCAUAGAAAAUGUACAGUGUAGCAAGCUGAACUGAAAGCUUUCUCCAUGCCUUCUUGCCAAUGGGCCUGCUCCCUGCUCUGGAAGAAUGCUAGAUAUUUUCAGAAAUAAGAA